rnacentral:lncRNA from 1 species
AUGGAGUCUCAGAAAGCAGAGCUCGGGCCAGGAAGGAGGAACAGGGAAUGCCUCACCCCAAAGCGGGCACCUGAGCGAGCCCCAGAGAUGGCCCAGCCGAGGCACGGGGGUCCCAGUGUCCUCAGUGCCAUUUCCCCAGCACUCGGGCAUCUGUGGCCUCCCAACCCCACCGGCUCUGCCCGGCCUGGGACCUGUGGCCCGGGUCAGAACAGCCAGCCUCACUGGGCCAGCCAGGAUGUGGCUUUCCUGUCUUGGCAGGUGGAGGCUUCGUGGGCUUCAGUUAGAGUCGCUCGGAAGCUUCCGGAAGCAGGCGGGGAGACNNNNNNNNNNNNNNNNNNNNUGGCAGGAGCCCCGUCCUGCCCACUGCCUCGGACCACCGCCGGCCUGCACGUCCACCCCGCACACCUCCAGCGCUGUGUGCGCGGCUGGGGAUGCCCGUCAACUGCUCCCCUUCAUCAGCAGCCCCGGUUGGAGCGGGCAUGUCCUUCGCAGCAGGAAAAAGCAGUCAUGAAACUCGUCAUGGUGGGGUAUUGGCCACUGUGGCAGAGGGAAGAAGCCACCACCUACUGCUGCCCCCACCAGAUCCAGCUUUAGUCCCAACCUUCACCCCUUUGUCAGCUUGAAGCAGCUCCAGAAGAAGAGACCUUCACCCAAUAACCAUAAAACAAAAGCCUGGAAUGUUAGAUUUCCUUCACCUUAAGAUUGCUGCUACAUAAAAGGAAUAGCCUUCUUCCCAUGAUGCCCUGCUUCUCACCUAAAAACAUGGCUUCCCCCACUAAAGGAUGCCUUCUUCUUCCCAUCAUGCCUCCUUUCCUGCCAAGAAGGAAGCCCCUCCUUGUGAUGUCACAAGCUCCCCCAAUCCCUAGCCACUACAUCACUCAUUCCCACCCCAGCUCCUAUAAGCCCCAGCCCAGUCCUAUAAGAAUCACUCCCUGUCCCGGCC